ensembl:rRNA predicted gene, 23257
UCUGUGGCCAUACUAUCCUCUAUGCACUUGUGCGUGUCUGAUCUCAAAAGCUAAGCAGGGCUGGGGCUGGUCAGUGCUUGGAUGGGAGCUAAGCCAUUCUCACCCAGAGGUAGGCAGAGCUGGUCAUGAGGG